AUACGUAGGGUGCGAGCGUUGUCCGGAAUUACUGGGCGUAAAGAGCUCGUAGGUGGUUUGUCGCGUCGUCUGUGAAAUUCCGGGGCUUAACUCCGGGCGUGCAGGCGAUACGGGCAUAACUUGAGUACUGUAGGGGAGACUGGAAUUCCUGGUGUAGCGGUGAAAUGCGCAGAUAUCAGGAGGAACACCGGUGGCGAAGGCGGGUCUCUGGGCAGUAACUGGCGCUGAGGAGCAAAAGCAUGGGGAGGGAACAGGAUUAGAUACCCUGGUAGUCCAUGCCGUAAACGGUGGGCGCUAGGGGGAGGGGGCUUCCACGACUUCUGUGCCGUAGCUAACGCAUUAAGCGCCCCGCCUGGGGAGUACGGCCGCAAGGCUAAAACUCAAAGGAAUUGACGGGG
rnacentral:rRNA from 1 species